rnacentral:misc_RNA from 1 species
GAUGAAGAACGUAGUGAAAUGCGAUACGUAAUGUGAAUUGCAGAAUUCAGUGAAUCAUCGAAUCUUUGAACGCAUAUUGCGCUCUCUGGUAUUCCGGAGAGCAUGCUUGUUUGAGUAUCAGUAAACACCUCAACUUCCAUAUCUUUUUUGAAAUGGGAGUUGGACUUGAGUGAUCCCAACGCUUUUCCUCACCGAAAAGUGGCGGGUUACUUGAAAUGCAGGUGCAGCUGGACUUUUCUCUGAGCUAUAAGCAUAUCUAUUUAGUCUGCCUAAAAAACAGAUUAUUACCUUUGCUGCAGCUAACAUAAAGGAGAUUAGUUCUUGUGCUGACUGAUGCAGGAUUCACAAAGACGGCUUCGGCCGACUUUGUAAACUCGAUCUCAAAUCAAGUAAGACUACCCGCUGAACUUAAGCAUAUCAAUAAGCGGAGGA